AACGCACAUUGCGCCCAUUAGUAUUCUAGUGGGCAUGCCUAUUCGAGCGUCAUUUCAACCCUUAAGCCUAGCUUAGUGUUAGGAGAUUACAGCAAUGUAACUCCCUAAAGACAGUGGCAGAGCUAAAUCAUCUCUCAGCGUAGUAAUUCUAUCUCGCUCUUGUAGUUGGUUUAGCGAUCGCCAUAAACCUAUAUUUUCUAAUGGUUGACCUCGGAUUAGGUAGGAAUACCCGCUGAACUUAA
rnacentral:misc_RNA from 1 species